rnacentral:rRNA from 1 species
CCUACGUGAGGCAGCAGUGGGGAAUAUUGCACAAUGGGGGAAACCCUGAUGCAGCGACGCCGCGUGAGUGAAGAAGUAAUUCGUUAUGUAAAGCUCUAUCAGCCUGGAAGAAAAUGACGGUACCUGAGUAAGAAGCCCCGGAUAACUACGUUCCAGCAGCCGCAGGAAUACGUAGGGGGCAAGCGUUAUCCGGAUUUACUUGGUGUAAAGGGAGCGUAGACGGCAGGGCAAGUCUGGAGUGAAAGGCGGGGGCUUAACCCCCGGACUGCUCUGGAAACUGUACGGCUGGAGUGCAGGAGGGGUAAGUGGAAUUCCUAGUGUAGGGGUGAAA